CAAGGAAUUUUCCACAAUGGGCGCAAGCCUGAUGGAGCAACGCCGCGUGGGGGAUGACGCAUUUCGGUGUGUAAACCCCUUUUCGAGGGGACGAAGGCAAUGACGGUACCCUCGGAAGAAGGCCCGGCUAACUACGUGCCAGCAGCCGCGGUAAGACGUAGGGGCCGAGCGUUGUCCGGAAUUACUGGGCGUAAAGCGCGCGCAGGCGGAUUGUCGCAUCAUCGGUGAAAGCCCCCCGCUCAACGGGGGAGGGUCCGGUGCGAUGGGCAGUCUGGAGGCAGGGAGAGGCGAGUGGAAUUCCGGGUGUAGUGGUGAAAUGCGUAGAGAUCCGGAGGAACACCAGUGGCGAAGGCGGCUCGCUGGACCUGACCUGACGCUGAGGCGCGAAGGCGUGGGGAGCGAACGGGAUUAGAUACCCCGGUAGUCCACGCAGUAAACGAUGGACACUAGGUGUGGCGGGAGUUGACCCCUGCCGUGCCGGCGUCAACACAGUAAGUGUCCCGCCUGGGGAGUACGGCCGCAAGGCU
rnacentral:rRNA from 1 species